UCCUUGACCAACCGUCGUCCACAGUAAGUAGUACCCGUGCUCCUAAAGCUUCCCUGGGAUUAAUAUUGCACUGAUCACAUUGGCUUCAGUGAUGUUUUUCCUUCCACUUCCUGCUCUAGUGUAGAACUCACAGGGCGGGGACAAGGUUUUCAUAUACCCAGCACGGGGAACAGCAGCCCUUGGUUAACAUGUACUGAAUGAAUCACAGGAAGUGGUGGCUGGAGCUCAUUCACACUAGCAUGUAAAUGACUAAUAUACAUCCUUUCCUGAAAACAACCCUUGAUGGAGGAGAGGAAGGGGAAAUCCCAGAGCCCCGGGCAAGUGAAGCCAGGGAAGCAGCCCCACCUGGAGAGGGACAGGUCCAGGGAGUUGGGAGGCCCAGCUUCAACCCUGGUUAUGAAGGAUUAAAUCACGCAGCCCGUGGUAUUUUCCUAACUCCUCUCAGUGGCGGCAGAGCAUGAAAGUGAAAUCAGGAGCUCUCCCCAGAGGCCCCGCUGCCGACCGCAGGCCACUCUUCAGAAGGAGCAGCAGCCACCGAAGAGGCACAGCCCUCAUGCACUCCAGAGACCAUGGGCAGCUGCCUCCAUGGCCGUGUCCUGCCCUGUCUCCCCUCCCAGCCCUGGGCUGGCUCUGGCCCCCGAGGAGUAGACAAGGACACAGCUGCCCCUCGUUCAAAUGCCAGGAGAAGGCUCCCAGCCAGCAUUCCAGACAGAACACUCCAGGUGCUCCAUGACACACGGACAGAUCCUUGCAGAGAAGUGAGACGUUCUAGAGCCUGGACAAUUCCAUAAAUGGCCGUGAGGACUUUGCUUUAAGGACUUUGCUCUCGGAAGCUGGAUUUUCCCUCUAUGAGUUAGAAUUCCAUGACAACAUGGCACCCAAAACACAGAUGCUGUUUACCUCUGUUCAUACAGUCAAGCUCAUUAAAAUUCAUUAAAGCCACCGACUAUCAUUCUACUGAAAAUCACUUAUAACAAAUCAGACUUACAACAGAUUUUGAUGUUGCAUAGUAUUCAAUUUGAUCAAAUCAGUCAAGACGUUGAAAGCUCCCAUAAGGGGAAGAAGGAGGGCGAUGUAGAAAUAUAAAGGGGUAAAAUGACGGUACAAUGGCCAGAGUGCAGAGUGCGCAGAAACCGGAAUUCACCUUCCUGAAGGCCAGCUCAGGGCAGGAUUCUAACACACACACACACACACACACACACACACACGCUCAGGCAUUCAUGCACAUGUACACACGCAUGCACACGUGUGCACAUGCAUGCACAUAAGCACACAGUGGCUUCACAUUGCUGCUCGAUGACUCCUUUCUGACAUGAAAACGCUACUUUGCACUUUUCACCCUCUCCCCAACUAUGAAUUCCUGCAUACUUAUCCCCAGAAAUUAGAAUUCACAUGGCAGAUAAUAGAAUUUCUGCCAAUUAGUUCACUUAUCUAACAAGGUAGGCUCUUUCUCUACUGGAAAUGGUCAUCUGUAGGUUAUCAUAACAUUUCACAUGGGCUUCUUCCGGGGAACGGGAAGGAACAAGGACAGUCAGCAAUUGUCUCCAGAGCAUCGCCUUGCUGGUUUAAAUGCUCCAGGAAGUGUUUGCCGUGGGACCAACGGCAGGUAGGGGCACAGGUGGAGUGUGCUGGGGACAGGAGGGGCUGCCUGGGAAGGUAAAAAGGAAUGGGAAGAAAGAGAGGGACUAUCCCAGCGAGGAGCAGUGUGAUCUUGAUACCUUCAAUGCCUGUGAGCCAAGCAUUCAGGAUUUAUUUCUACCCCAAUUAUCCUAAGAGAGGCAAUGGCCUCAUUCAGUGCCAUGGAGAAAUGGGCUCUAGCUCCUAGAUGACAAUGGCGGCCAGCCUCUGCGGAUGGACAGGAGAGCUGCCAGAGAGAGCCAGGGCCAUCCUAGUGGCGGUUGCGAGCCUCACCCCAACCCGCUCCAAACCCACCCCGGAGGCAGGUGCUGCCAACGCCACGUAAAGCACCUG
rnacentral:lncRNA from 1 species